GAGCUGGCGCGGCGGGCGCGGUCAUGCCGUCUCGGCGCUGGAGAUGCCGGAAGCCCCGGUUCAGCCGGGCUGGCAUU
rnacentral:tRNA from 1 species